UGGGGAAUAUUGGACAAUGGGCGAAAGCCUGAUCCAGCCAUGCCGCGUGUGUGAAGAAGGUCUUCGGAUUGUAAAGCACUUUAAGUUGGGAGGAAGGGCAGUAAGCGAAUACCUUGCUGUUUUGACGUUACCGACAGAAUAAGCACCGGCUAACUCUGUGCCAGCAGCCGCGGUAAUACAGAGGGUGCAAGCGUUAAUCGGAAUUACUGGGCGUAAAGCGCGCGUAGGUGGUUCGUUAAGUUGAAUGUGAAAGCCCCGGGCUCAACCUGGGAACUGCAUCAAAUACUGGCGAGCUAGAGUAGGGCAGAGGGUGGUGGAAUUUCCUGUGUAGCGGUGAAAUGCGUAGAUAUAGGAAGGAACACCAGUGGCGAAGGCGACCACCUGGGCUCAUACUGACACUGAGGUGCGAAAGCGUGGGGAGCAAACAGG
rnacentral:rRNA from 1 species